UACAGAGGUCUCAAGCGUUUGUUCGGAUUCAUUGGGCGUAAAGGGUGCGUAGGUGGCGCGCUAAGUCAGGUGUGAAAUUUCGGAGCUUAACUCCGAAACUGCAUUUGAUACUGGCGUGCUUGAGGACUGGAGAGGAGACUGGAAUUCACGGUGUAGCAGUGAAAUGCGUAGAUAUCGUGAGGAAGACCAGUGGCGAAGGCGGGUCUCUGGACAGUUCCUGACACUGAGGCAGCGAAGGCCAGGGGAGCAAACGGG
rnacentral:rRNA from 1 species